AGUAUUCCUAUUUAUAACAGAAUAGCUUAUGAGCUACUUACUAAUUCAGUUAAGCUAACAAACUUCCUAACUGAUUCAGUUUAUUCCAACUGCUCUUCUAACAAUAUUUCCCUCCCAAAUACAUCCUCAUCCAUAUCCUCAACUAACUAUUUCUCCUCCUCCUAUAAUACGUAACAAUACCCUCCUCAAGAGAAUUUUCUUGUCCCAAGAAGAUUGA
rnacentral:misc_RNA from 1 species